GUGACAUUAACCGCAUCACUGAUUCUGCACCAUCCUCGCUCUUCUGAGUAUAGAGCCCAUGGUCUUUUCAUCGACUAGCGGACAAUUUCACCGCAGUCAAGUCCACUCCAGUCCAGGUCUCAUCAAGUUCAUCGAUUUUUCCUAAAAUCAAGUUCUUUCCUCGUUUCGAGGGUUUACUACUCAAGGUUCAUAUCUCCGUUUUACGCCCUCCCACUCAAUACAAAAGAAAAAAAAAACCUCAAAAUUACAAAAAUGCAUUAGUGUCUUAAGCACACCAAUUGUGUGCUCCAGGCAUUUCAUA